rnacentral:rRNA from 1 species
UACAGAGGUCUCAAGCGUUGUUCGGAUUCAUUGGGCGUAAAGGGUGCGUAGGCGGCGCGGUAAGUCGGGUGUGAAAUCUCGGAGCUUAACUCCGAAACUGCAUUCGAUACUGCCGUGCUUGAGGACUGGAGAGGAGACUGGAAUUCAUGGUGUAGCAGUGAAAUGCGUAGAGAUCAUGAGGAAGACCAGUGGCGAAGGCGGGUCUCUGGCCCGAUACUGACGCUGAGGUGCGAAAGCGUGGGGAGCAAACAGG